ACAGGUGCUGCAUGGCUGUCGUCAGCUCGUGUUGUGAAAUGUUGGGUUAAGUCCCGCAACGAGCGCAACCCUUAUCCUUUGUUGCCAGCGGUCCGGCCGGGAACUCAAAGGAGACUGCCAGUGAUAAACUGGAGGAAGGUGGGGAUGACGUCAAGUCAUCAUGGCCCUUACGACCAGGGCUACACACGUGCUACAAUGGCGCAUACAAAGAGAAGCGACCUCGCGAGAGCAAGCGGACCUCAUAAAGUGCGUCGUAGUCCGGAUUGGAGUCUGCAACUCGACUCCAUGAAGUCGGAAUCGCUAGUAAUCGUGGAUCAGAAUGCCACGGUGAAUACGUUCCCGGGCCUUGUACACACCGCCCGUCACACCAUGGGAGUGGGUUGCAAAA
rnacentral:rRNA from 2 species